CAACCAACAGGGAUUGCCCUAGUAACGGCGAGUGAAGCGGCAACAGCUCAAAUUUGAAAUCUGGCUCUUUUAGGGUCCGAGUUGUAAUUUGCAGAGGGCGCUUUGGCUUUGGCAGCGGUCCAAGUUCCUUGGAACAGGACGUCACAGAGGGUGAGAAUCCCGUACGUGGUCGCUAGCUAUUGCCGUGUAAAGCCCCUUCGACGAGUCGAGUUGUUUGGGAAUGCAGCUCUAAAUGGGAGGUAAAUUUCUUCUAAAGCUAAAUAUUGGCCAGAGACCGAUAGCGCACAAGUAGAGUGAUCGAAAGAUGAAAAGCACUUUGGAAAGAGAGUCAAACAGCACGUGAAAUUGUUGAAAGGGAAGCGCUUGCAGCCAGACUUGCUUGCAGUUGCUCAUCCGGGCUUUUGCCCGGUGCACUCUUCUGCAGGCAGGCCAGCAUCAGUUUGGGCGGUGGGAUAAAGGUCUCUGACACGUUCCUUCCUUCGGGUUGGCCAUAUAGGGGAGACGUCAUACCACCAGCCUGGACUGAGGUCCGCGCAUCUGCUAGGAUGCUGGCGUAAUGGCUGUAAGCGGCCCGUCUUGAAACACGGACCAAGGAGUCUAACAUCUAUGCGAGUGUUUGGGUGUCAAGCCCGAGCGCGUAAUGAAAGUGAACGGAGGUGGGAACCCGCAAGGGCGCACCAUCGACCGAUCCUGAAGUUUACGGAAGGAUUUGAGUAAGAGCAUGGCUGUUGGGACCCGAAAGAUGGUGAACUAUGCUUGAAUAGGGUGAAGCCAGAGGAAACUCUGGUGGAGGCUCGCAGCGGUUCUGACGUGCAAAUCGAUCGUCAAAUUUGGGCAUAGGGGCGAAAGACUAAUCGAACU
rnacentral:rRNA from 1 species